CAAUCGUUUUACUAGGUAUCCACGCAAGGCAGAGAGAGAUAGGAAUGAUGAAUCCAAGAAACGGCACCGGCAUGAUUGCCGUGGUGGUGCUCUGCCUCUCCUGGAUGGUCGGGCUCGUGGCUUCCACGUCGCUUCACGGCAUUGCUCGCAACAGCCACAACAAC
rnacentral:ribozyme from 1 species